GGACCAUUAGCUCAGCGGUAGAGCGUCCGCUUGAUAAGCGGAAGGCCGUUAGUUCAAGUCUAACAUGGUCCA
rnacentral:tRNA from 1 species